UACGGGGGGGCAAGCGUUGUUCGGAAUUACUGGGCGUAAAGGGCUCGAGUAGGCGGCCAACUAAGUCAGACGUGAAAUCCCUCGGACUUAACCGGGGAACUGCGUCUGAUACUGGAUGGCUUGAAGUUUGGGAGAGGGAUGCGGAAUUCCAGGUGGUAGCGGUAGAAAUGCGCAGAUAAUCAGGAGGAACACCGGUGGCGAAGGCGGGUCUCUGGGCCGAUACUGACGCUGAGACGCGAAAGCGUGGGGAGCGA
rnacentral:rRNA from 1 species